UUUCAGUGCUAGUUACCCAGUUACAGAAGUGACCCCAUAGGCUUUCGCUUUUACGUCUCUCUAAAAUUGCAGUCAUGGUAAAAUCUUGGUUUAUUUAAUCAUCAGGGACUCCCAAGCACACGAGUUUUCUACAAAUAAAAAUAGAAAAUGGAAGGCUUGUUAUUCAACAGUAUAACAUGACUUAUAUACUCGUGUCAACCAAGGUGUAUGUGGAUCUAUUCAAGUUUUUAAUGAAGUUGAUUGGAAAAAUAGGGACUUCUCUACAGAGAAUUAUAAUUUUGAUAUAAUAGUGGGUUACCCGGGAUUCGAACCCGGAACUAGUCGGAUGGAGUAUAUAAGUUCCUUGUUAAAUAAAAUAAAUGUUAAUCUUAAAUUAAAUAAACAAGUAAAGAUUCCUCCCCAAGCCGUGCUUGCACUUUUCAAUGCACACGGCUUUCCCUAUGUAUACAUCAUCUUUUAGAAAAUCAAAGAAUGAAUCACUGAUAAUUCGCCAGAUCGUUGAUAGAAAAAAUAUCCAAAUACCAAAUCCAACUUCUAUAUACUACCCACAAACUAGACGAAGCUCGUGGGAAGGUCAAAGAAAGAACUUGUUCUUCUGACAUUAAGAAUUCUUCCAAUAAUUCCGAGCCCGAUCUUUUCAAAAAAGUGCGUACAGUACUUUUGUGUUUCCGAGCUAAAGUUCUAGCACAAGAAAGUCGAAGUAUAUACUUUAUUCGAUAUAAAGUCGUUUUUUUGGAAGAUCCGCUAAAAUAAUGAAAAAGAUUUCUGCAUAUACGCCCCAAUCGGUCAAUAAUAUCAGAAUCUGAUAAAUCGGACCAAACCGGUUUACUAAUGGGAUGUCCUAAUACGGUACAAAAGUGUGCUUUAGCUAAUGAUCCAAUCAAAGGAAUAAUUGGAACAAGGGUAUCGAACUUUUUAAUUGCAUUAUUUAUUAGAAAUGAAUUUUCUAACAUUUGACUACGUACCGUUGAAUGAUUUAGUCGCACACUUGAAAGAUAGCCCAUAAAGUCACGGGAAUGGUUGGAUAAUUGGUUUAUAUGGAUCUUUCCUGUGUGAAAGCACAGAGAAAAAUGACAUUUCCAAAAAUUGACAAGAUAAAAUUUCCAUUUAUUCAUCAAAAGAAACGUCCCAUUUGAAGCCAGAAUUGAUUUCCCUGAUACCUAACAUAAUGUAUGAAAGGAUCCUUGAAUAACCAUAAGGUAACCUGAAAAUCCUUAACAAAUACUUCUACAAGACGUUCUAUUUUUUCAUAAAAAUAUAUUUGUUUAAGAAGGGCUCCAAAAGAUGUUGAUCGUAAAUGAAAAGAUUGGUUCUGUAGAAAGACGAAAGUGGAUUCUCAUUAAUAUACAUAAAAAUUAUAUAAAAAGAAGAAGAAUCUUUGAUUUUUUUUUUUUGAAAAGCAGUAAUCGGGCUUCUUUGAAGUAAUAAGACUACUCAAAUUCCAAUAUUCGUGGAGAAAGAAUCGUAAUAAAUGUAAAGAAGAGGCAUCUUUUACCCAAUAGCGAAGAGUUUGAACCAAGAUUUCCACAUAAACAGGGUAGGGUAUUAGUAUAUCUAAUACAUAAUUUAGAUGUGAAAAAUUAUCCUCUAAAAAAGGAAAUGUUGAAUGAAUUGAUCGUAAAUUAUAAGAUUUUAAAAUCUUUUUGCCUUCAAAAAAAGAUAAAUAAGAUAUUAAUCGCAGAGAAAACGGAAUUUCCACAAUAAAUUCAAAUCCCUCUGAUAUCAUUUGAGAAUACAAACUCUUAUUGCACUUCAAAAAUGGAUUUUUGUUAGAAUCAUUAGUAGAAAUAAGAAAAUAAUUCUGUUGAUACAUUUGAGUAAUUAAACGUUUCACAAUUAGGAAACUAAAUUUAUUGUUAUAACCCGGAUUUUCCAACAAAAUUGACCUAUUUCUAUUUAAACCAUGAUCAUGAGCAAGUGCAUAAAUAUACUCCUGAAAGAUAAGUGGAUAUAGGAAGUUGUGUUGUUGCGAGCUAUCUAGCUGUAAAUAUCUUUGGAUUUCUUCCAUUUGAAAUUCGAUUUGAACCAAAGAUGGAAGAUUUUUAGGGUUAUCAAAUGAUACAUAGUGCGAUACAGUUAAAACAAAGCAUUAUAGUAAUAAUAGAUACCUUGGAUACAGGUAAACUUCUCAACGGAUUCUCUAUCAUCUCUUUUUUUUUGUUUCAGUUAAUUGGUCUAUGUUAUAGUAUUAUAGGAUAAUAAGAUGGUUAGAAAUCCUUUAUUUUUUCAACCUAAUCGCUCUUUUGACUUCGGAAAAAACUUUCUUUAUCAAUAUACUGUUUCUUCUACACACACAUCUCCAUAAUCGAAAAUGUUAAUAGUUAGGAUUCAUUAAAAAAAUCGAGAAUCCACUCAUGGGACAAGAAACCCUUCCCGCAUCAGGCACUAAUAAAUUUUUAACGUCUAAUUAGAUCGGGAAUCAUUCAAAUUAAGAACAAAAGCUCGUUGCUUUUUCUUUCCCGAUAAUUUAAUUGAAGCCGCAGCUCUAUCCAUUUAUUCAUUCGACCCAACUUUAUUUUGUUCCGUUCCAAGAAUUCUAACACGGUUUUAUACCCAUCUAGGAACAAUGAAAUAUUUUCAGAACUUUCCGUUGAUACGACAUGCUAUUUUUACCAUUCAUUCCCUUUCAGGAUCAGUCGUGGUCUUCCAAACUUUACCGAGAGUAUGGACGAAUCCCUCACUUCAUCCAUAUGUGUAAAAGACACUAGCCGCACUUAAAAGCCGAGUACUCUACCGUUGAGUUAGCAACCCGAAGAAAAUAUCGAAAAAAUGGUGUAGAUCCAAUCCGAAGAAAAAGAAAUAAAGAGAUUAGACAAGACAACCCAAAACCAUUGAAAGAAGAAAUCUAAAAAAAUAAAUUCACACUUUCUAAUUAAUUUAAAAGAUAAAAUAAAACUAAAUAGAUCCACUUCAUUUAUCAAUUUAUCACAAUGAAUUAUAUUUGUUCGAUACACUGUUGUCAAUAU
rnacentral:lncRNA from 1 species